UUCAGAGUCAAUUGAAAAUUGAAGAAAAUAGGGAUCUUUUGGUGGUUUUUGGUGUUUUUGAGAUGGUAACCGGUAUGAAUUGUUCACUAAUUGAUUCAUUGAUAGGUAUUUAGCUUAUUGGAGUUUUUGGGUUUUAUUGAUUUAUUGCAUUUAGAUGGAACUCUUGUGAAUCACAAUACCAAAUAUUUUCCAAUUGGACCAGUUUAUUUGUUAUCUGUUUUAGUUUGAUGAUUUAUCAAUUAUCAUGUUGUAUAGGUUGUUUUCUUUGCUUCUGCUUCUGCUGUUAGUAUUUCUUUCUCUAUGAUAUAUGGAGCCUUUGUAAGGUUGACCACAACCAGUAUUCCAACUGAUGGGUGAGUACAUCAUGUGUAUUUAUUGAAAAUCAGGCAUAGUUGGUGCAAUUGUGUUCACUUGUUUUGAGUAAAAUAAAUGUCUUGUUUAAUAUAUGGCUUCAUUCUUGCUUGAGUACUAGAUUUUGGGGGUUGGGGCAUUGCUAAUAGUUACUGAGCAUGAGUGCAAGUUCCUAACUAUGCUUGAUUGUAAACUUUUGAUUACUUUCUAUAGGUGUUGUGCAAAAAGGUAUUUAAUGCUAUUUUUAGAGACUGUAAUGGUAUUUCCAUUUUCUACUUAUGUUUUGUUGAUUGAAAUUCUAUGGUGAUUGAAUUUGCUUCAUCGCCGUUUUCUAUCACAAGCACUAAAUCCCUAGUCAUCGACCUAAAUCCUUAAAUUGUUGUUUCCUUCAUUUCAAUACCUAAUCCCUAAAUUUUCGACGAAGCUUCUCAAUUUCUGGCUAGUGACAAAGCUUCUAUUUCUUUCUCUCGUUGAACAUAGUUCAUUGUUUUCAUAUCAGGUUCCUUGUUCUCUCUUUGAGCAAGUUAUCCUUUGAAAAAACAACUAUCAGCUGAUUGUAUCAUAGCUUUGCUUUGGAUCUGUUUUUGUUGGUUGUGAAGAUUAGUAGAAUGGCAUGUUAGGUUGAGAAUUGAAAUUUAAGAUUUUGUAUGAUUUUUAUGAUGUUUUUUUUUUUUUGAGAAUUGAUUGUUUGUUUUGUUUUGUGAGGUUUGGAUGAGUAGAUCUGCUUCAUGCAUUUAGCUACUUGCCUUGUGAUCUUAAUUUCAUCGAUCAUACUAGUGACAUUGGAUGGAAAGAACACCAGUGUGCGAGGCCGACAAUUGUUGAUCCGGGGUAGUACAUGAAUAAGAAGUAAGAUGUGUUUUGUGUUACAUAGACGAGAAGUAAACCAACUGCUUUCAAACUUUUCACAGCCAAUUUCUUAAGUCUGCUGCCAAAUUUUAACCCUGCUGCUGAUUUUGUAACUCUGCUACCGUUUUCGUAAUUGAAUAAGAAGAAUCGAGAAAUGAUUAAGGAUCAUGAAGCAACAUAACAUACUAGGGAUUGCUUUUUUUCCUUUUAGAGUUUCAAGUUAUUUAAUUAAAUUUUUUAUGUAUGAAUGUUGUCACUAUUAAAUUAAUUAUAUGAAUGAAAUUAAAUU